UCGUGCUAGACGGGGAGCUAGCGGUGCCCUGUACCCGCAAACCGCUAUAGCGGGGUUGAACUCCGGCCCGAGACCUCGGGCUGGCCGCGUCUGACAGUGUCGUUCGGUGUUGAGGACUUGGUCCUGCGCGUCGGAAGCCUACGAACCCCGCCAGGUUCGGAAGGAAGCAACGGUAAGUAGAUACUUCCGAGCGCCGCAGGGAAACCUGGUCUGAGCCGAAGGCACUGUAGCAGGCGAUCAGUAGAGGACGACGGCCGGUGCACGA
rnacentral:SRP_RNA from 1 species